UGGGUAACUUCCUGUCGGUGAUGGGAUGGAGGUGCAUCAUGGGUAACUUACUGUUUGUGAUGGAUGGAGGUGCAUCAUGGGUAACUUCCUGUCUGUGAUGGAUGGAGGUGCAUCAUGGGUACCUUUCUGUGUGUCAUGGGAUGGAGGUGCAUCAUGGGUAACUUCCUAUCUGUGAUGGGAUGGAGGUGCAUCAUGGGUAACUUCCUGUCUGUGAUGGAUGGAGGUGCAUCAUGGGUAACUUCCUGUCUGUGAUGGAUGGAGGUGCAUCAUGGGUACCUUUCUGUGUGUCAUGGGAUGGAGGUGCAUCAUGGGUAACUUCCUAUCUGGGAUGGGAUGGAGGUGCAUCAUGGGUAACUUCCUGUCUGUGAUGGGUGGAGGUGCAUCAUGGGUAACUUCCUGUCUGUGAUGGGAUGGAGGUGUAUCAUGGGUAACUUCCUGUCUGUGAUGGAUGGAGGUGCAUCAUGGGUACCUUUCUGUGUGUCAUGGGAUGGAGGUGCCUCAUGGGUAACUUCCUGUCUGUGAUGGAUGGAGGUGCAUCAUGGGUAACUUCCUAUCUGGGAUGGGAUGGAGGUGCAUCAUGGGUAACUUCCUGUCUGUGAUGGAUGGAGGUGCAUCAUGGGUACCUUUCUGUGUGUCAUGAGAUGGAGGUGCCUCAGGGGUAACUUACUGUUUGUGAUGGAUGGAGGUGCAUCAUGGGUAACUUCCU